UACGUAGGGGGCUAGCGUUGUCCGGAUUUAUUGGGCGUAAAGAGCGUGUAGGCGGCCAGGUAGGUCUGCUGUGAAAACUCGAGGCUCAACCUCGAGACGUCGGCGGAAACCAUCUGGCUAGAGUCCGGAAGAGGAGAGUGGAAUUCCUGGUGUAGCGGUGAAAUGCGCAGAUAUCAGGAAGAACACCGGUGGCGAAGGCGGAUCUCUGGGCCAUUACUGACGCUGAGGAGCGAAAGCGUGGGGAGCGAACAGGAUUAGAU
rnacentral:rRNA from 1 species